rnacentral:miRNA from 1 species
CAAGGAAUCACUAAUCUCCCUA